UCCUGGCUCAGGAUGAACGCUAGCGACAGGCUUAACACAUGCAAGUCGAGGGGCAGCACGGGAGUAGCAAUACAACUGGUGGCGACCGGCGCACGGGUGAGUAACGCGUAUGCAACCUACCUAUCAGAGGGGAAUAACCCGGCGAAAGUCGGACUAAUACCGCAUAAAACAGGGGCACCGCAUGGUGAUAUUUGUUAAAGAAAUUCGCUGAUAGAUGGGCAUGCGUUCCAUUAGGUAGUUGGAGAGGUAACGGCUCCCCAAGGCAACGAUCAUUAGGGGUUCUGAGAGGAAGGUCCCCCCACACUGGUACUGAGACACGGACCAGACUCCUACGGGAGGCAGCAGUGAGGAAUAUUGGUCAAUGGACGAGAGUCUGAACCAGCCAAGUCGCGUGCAGGAAGAAUUGUCCUAUGGAUUGUAAACUGCUUUUGCAGGGGAAUAAAGUGCAUCACGUGUGAUGUUUUGUAUGUACUCUGCGAAUAAGGAUCGGCUAACUCCGUGCCAGCCGCCGC
rnacentral:rRNA from 1 species